AGCCAGGGGGGCAAGACGGAAAGAAAGAAAAUAAAGCGAGGCCGAGGGCAGAGAAUGGGAAAAAGAAAGAGAGAGGGAGAGAGAGAUACGAAGAGAAAGGAGGUAGAUGGACUAAACGAAGCUAGAGGAAGAAUAUCCUGUAUUUCUCCAAGAAUCAAUUCACGUAUACAACAAACAUCUCCACCAUAUCUGUCGUUUAUUACUCAUCCAGACGAGAUACAUAACCGCAUGCGUGACCAUUCCCAUACGUAGUCUCUCCGACUGCAAAUAAUAUCUAAAAAUUCAUGCAAAUGAAAAAAGAAGAAGGGUAGGAAUGAUGAAAAAUUCUGUAGCAGAGAUUGAAUUUCACUCGAAA
rnacentral:misc_RNA from 1 species